rnacentral:rRNA from 1 species
AGCCACAGCCAUAUCACCCUGCAGCCCAAGGUUACCUAUGAAGCUAAGCAGCGCUGAGCCUGGUCAGUACCUGAUGGGAGACCACAUGGGAAAGCUAGGUUGCGGUUGGAA